rfam:complete chromosome Acholeplasma brassicae.
GGUUAAGGAAGUAAGGGCACACAGUGGAUGCCUUGGCACUAAGCGCCGAUGAAGGACGCAACUAACAGCGAAAUGCUACGGGGAGCGGUAAGUACGCGACGAUCCGUAGGAAUCCGAAUGGGGGAACCCGGCAUGUAGAAGACAUGUCACUCUAGCAAUAGAGGGGGAUACGCAGGGAACUGAAAUAUCUAAGUACCUGCAGGAAAAGAAAGUAACAACGAUUCUUCUAGUAGCGACGAGCGAACGAGGAGGAGCCUGAUUAUUCUAACAGUUACAAAAUCAAUUAAUAGACGAGCAAGUUGGGAAGCUUGACCAUAGAAGGUGAAAGUCCUGUAGUCGAAAUUAAUGGAUCUGGGAAUAACGAAAAGUAGGGCGGGACACGAGAAAUCCCGUUUGAAGAACGGAGGACCAUCUCCGAAGGCUAAAUACGACUUAGUGACCGAUAGUGAACCAGUACCGUGAGGGAAAGGUGAAAAGAACCCCGGAAGGGGAGUGAAAAAGAUCCUGAAACUGUGUGCUUACAAUUAGUUAGAGCACGUUAAUGUGUGAUAGCAUGCCUUUUGUAGAAUGAACCGGCGAGUUACGAUAUAGAGCAAGGUUAAGCCUAGAGGGGUGGAGCCGAAGCGAAAGCGAGUCUGAAUAGGGCGAAUAAGUUGUAUGUCGUAGACCCGAAACCGGGUGAGCUAGCCAUGAGCAGGUUGAAGUUUAUGUAAGAGUAAAUGGAGGACCGAACGAGGACACGUUAAAAAGUGUUUCGAUGACUUGUGGCUAGGGGUGAAAUUCCAAUCGAACUCGGAGAUAGCUGGUUCUCCCCGAAAUAGCUUUAGGGCUAGCGUUAGCAAAUAGUUUUAUGAAGGUAGAGCACUGAAUGUGUGAUGGCCCCACCUCGGGGUACUGAGCCCAAUCAAACUCCGAAUGUCAUAAAAUGUGGCUAGCAGUCAGACUGUGGGUGAUAAGGUUCAUGGUCAAGAGGGAAAGAGCCCAGAUCGCCAGAUAAGGUCCCAAAAUUCAUGCUAAGUGGCAAAGGAAGUGGAGAUGCACAAACAACUAGGAGGUUGGCUUAGAAGCAGCCAUCCUUUAAAGAGUGCGUAAUAGCUCACUAGUCGAGUGACUCUGCGCCGAAAAUGUACCGGGGCUAAGCAUGAUACCGAAGCUGCGAAUUUGGAUUGAUAUCCAAGUGGUAGGGGAGCGUUCUAACAGGGAUGAAGGUAGAUCGUAAGGACUACUGGACUGGUUAGAAGUGAGAAUGCCGGUGUAAGUAACGAAAAGACAGGUGAGAAUCCUGUCCGUCGAAAACCCAAGGUUUCCAGGGGAAGGUUCGUCCGCCCUGGGUAAGUCGGGGCCUAAGGUGAGGCUGAGAAGCGUAGCCGAUGGAUAGCAGGUAGAGAUUCCUGCACUAGUUUAUAGACUGAUGGAGUGACAAAGGAGGCUAACGUCCGCCCCUGAAUGGAUUGGGGACAAGGAACUAAGGUUGGUGUGUAGGCAAAUCCGCACACUUUAAUUAAGACUGAGGUUCGGUAGGUAAAGGAUGAUGACGUCAAACUUUCAAGAAAAGCUUCUAGGGUUAAUCUAUAGACUACCCGUACCGUAAACCGACACAGGUGGGUAGGUAGAGAAUACUAAGACGCGCGAGAAAACCCUUGUUAAGGAACUCGGCAAAAUGACUCCGUAACUUCGGGAUAAGGAGGACUUUUAAUGAAAAAAGAAAGUCGCAGAGAAUAGGCCCAAGCGACUGUUUAUCAAAAACACAGGUCUCUGCAAAACCGUAAGGUGAAGUAUAGGGGCUGACACCUGCCCGGUGCUGGAAGAUUAAGAGGAGAUGUCAAGCAAUGAAGCAUUGAAUUGAAGUCCCAGUAAACGGCGGCCGUAACUAUAACGGUCCUAAGGUAGCGAAAUUCCUUGUCAGGUAAGUUCUGACCCGCACGAAAGGUGUAACGAUUUGGGCACUGUCUCAACAAGGGACUCGGUGAAAUCAAGCUGCCGGUGAAAACGCCGGCUACCCGCGACAGGACGAAAAGACCCCAUGGAGCUUUACUGUAGCUUGAUAUUGACAUUCGGUGUACUAUGUACAGGAUAGGUGGGAGACUAAGAAGCUAGGACGUUAGUCUUGGUGGAGUCAACGUUGGGAUACCACCCUUGGUGCAUUGAGUGUCUAACUUGUGGAUGUGUAAUCCAAAGGACAGUGUCUGGUGGGCAGUUUGACUGGGGCGGUCGCCUCCCAAAGAGUAACGGAGGCGCCCUAAGGUACCCUCAGAAUGGUUGGAAAUCAUUCGUAGAGCGCAAAAGCAGAAGGGUGCUUGACUGCGAGACCAACAAGUCGAGCAGGGACGAAAGUCGGGUUUAGUGAUCUUACGGUACCGCAUGGAAGGGCCGUGACUCAACGGAUAAAAGCUACCCUGGGGAUAACAGGCUUAUCGCUUCCAAGCGUUCACAGCGACGAAGCGGUUUGGCACCUCGAUGUCGGCUCGUCGCAUCCUGGAGCUGAAGAAGGUUCCAAGGGUUGGGCUGUUCGCCCAUUAAAGCGGCACGCGAGCUGGGUUCAGAACGUCGUAAGACAGUUCGGUCUCUAUCCGUCGUGGGCGUUGGAAAUUUGAAGGGAGCUGUCCUUAGUACGAGAGGACCGGGAUGGACGUACCGCUGGUGCACCAGUUGGCCUGCCAAGGCCACAGCUGGGUAGCUACGUACGGACGGGAUAAACGCUGAAAGCAUCUAAGCGUGAAGCCCCCCUUAAGAUGAGAUUUCCCAUUAGCAAUAAGUAAGAUCCCUUAGAUACGAUGAGGUUGAUAGGCUAGGUGUGGAAGUGCGGUGACGCAUGAAGCUGACUAGUACUAAUAGAUCGAGGACUUAACCUU